rnacentral:rRNA from 1 species
UAGCCGUAAACGAUACUCGCUAGGUGUCGGCCACGGUGCGACCGUUGUCGGUGCCGUAGGGAAGCCGUGAAGCGAGCCACCUGGGAAGUACGGCCGCAAGGCUGAAACUUAAAGGAAUUGGCGGGGAGCACCACAACGGGUGGAGCUUGCGGUUUAAUUGGAUUCAACGCCGGAAAUCUUACCGGGACCGACAGCAACAUGAAGGCCAGGCUGAAGACUUUGCCGGAUUAGCUGAGAGGUGGUGCAUGGCGUAGUCGUGU